UGUGGCUUUCAGUGACGGUCGAUGUACUGUUCAAGUUUUGUCGGAUAAAUUUGGAAAACGCGGAGAUAUAGAGAAAUCUGGCGCCGGCAGUAGGGGCCCAAAUCAAUGACAUUUCAUAGAUCAUGAGACUGAACGCAGUGAGAGCCCACUUAAUGCGGGUUUUCUGUUUGCGCAGAACCUCUUGGGAAAAGUAAGACGUUUUGAGACUAUAACGCAUCGUUAAGGCUCAGCAGAUAGAUUGGACCUACAAUCUGGAGAAAUCGGCAGCACACUACGUGACCUGGCGACAAUAGUCCCCGCGCGCCAUCUCCUCCCAUCGGCUGAUCCCAUUGUUCUACGAGAGGCAUCCCUGCCUCUAGCCUGACCGCCGGCACCGUCUCCCGACAAUGGUCCGACGCGACGGCCGCCCGCGCCGGGACAGGAAGCUCCGCCCACCGGCUGUGACGUCACGCUCGCUGGGGAUAAAGCCGCGGCCGCUGCUGGGCAGGGUGCUGGAUGUCGCUGGAGGGCACCACGGGAGCUGACGGGGCAGUGAGUGCAGGUACUUGGCCUGCGCCGCGUCCUGUGACGUCACGCGCCCAUCGAGCGGCAUCAGGGCUCGGCGGGAUGGUCACCUUCGCAGACGGAUGCUGCCUUCCGGUUCUGCUGCUCUUCCUGAGCCGGCUGUCGGCAGUCUCGUCAUUAGCAGCGGACGUCACUCCACACCAUCCAGAUGCGUUCCGUGCGGGCUUGUCUAUCCGAGGCGUCCUUCCGCGCCGACACGGAGAUACGAGGUCCACGAAGACACCGACCUACCGCGAAGCCAUCACCCCCGUCCCGGAGCUCGAUCAACUGGUGACACUUCCCGAAGCGGAGAUCGACAUUGAGAACUCAGCCCGCGCAAUCUCCGCUGGCAACGAGGACUCGUCAGGCGUCCUUCACUCGGAGCCCGCCAAUGAAACAGAAUACCCCUCAGCGGACCUGCUCCGUAACCUUGCACGAGCUUGGCGAGGUGGCCGCGUCACGCGGUCUGCGACCGUCUCAGCAUCGUCGGGUCGGCCGAAGGCCAAGAAAAGCAGGUAUCGUUCGUUUGCCGCCCACAGCUCACCGCUGUGGAGCGACGCUGCGGCGGCAACACCGCAGGGGCUGCCGGAGCUGCCGCAGCA